CGUAGGGACCAAGCGUUGUUCGGAUUUACUGGGCGUAAAGGGCGCGUAGGCGGCGCGGUAAGUCACUUGUGAAAUCUCUGAGCUUAACUCAGAACGGCCAAGUGAUACUGCAGUGCUAGAGUGUGGAAGGGGCAAUCGGAAUUCUUGGUGUAGCGGUGAAAUGCGUAGAUAUCAAGAGGAACACCUGAGGUGAAGACGGGUUGCUGGGCCAACACUGACGCUGAGGCGCGAAAGCCAGGGGAGCAAACGGGAUUAGACUACCCCGGUAGUCCUGGCCCUAAACGAUGAAUACUUGGUGUCUGGUAGUUUUAAUGCUCCGGGUGCCGUCGCUUAACGUUUUAGUAUUCCGCCUGGGGAGUACGCUCGCAAGAGUG
rnacentral:rRNA from 1 species